UACGAAGGGGGCUAGCGUUGCUCGGAAUUACUGGGCGUAAAGCGCACGUAGGCGGUCUUUUAAGUCGGGGUGGAAAUCCUGGAGCUCAACUCCAGAACUGCCUUCGAUACUGGAAGACUUGAGUCCGGGAGAGGUGAGUGGAACUGCGAAGUGUAGAGGUGAAAUUCGAUAGAUAUUCGGAAGAACACCAAGUGGCGAAGGCGGACUUACUGGACACAUAUUGACGCUGAGGUGCGAAAGCGUGGGGAGCAAACAGGG
rnacentral:rRNA from 1 species